rnacentral:lncRNA from 1 species
UGAAGUUUCCCGCUUUGAAACAUAACAUGUUUCCACCCUGCACAUCAGUUUUAAAAAAUGUAAAGUUUUUGUCUAGUUUUUAUAUUUUUUGACCGAACUUACCCAUUGGGUGGCUCUGAUUCAGUGAUUCUUGACUAUACUUACAUUUAGAUCUCUAUCGAUUGGUUGAUCCAGUCUACAUUUUCUUUACAAGUGAUGCAGUUUUCAGAAAUACAAACAUUUUUACAGGAACUUAUGGGCUCUUUUAGUGACUUUGGAUAUUCAAUCAAACUACAACUUUUUCGGAUUGGUCUCUCAGAGUGAAGAGGCAAGCACUUGCAUGUCCCAGUUUGAAACCGUUGUGCUACUUACUGGAAUCAGCGUUAAAAGACGGCAAAAGUUUGAAGGAUCAGAGCUUAUUCGAUAGGUCAAACACGAAUAGAUUCUUGGAUGAUCUAAACUUAAAGUAUCCACAGAUUAAUGAUGAGCUAUUGGCAAUUUACCUGACAAACCUAGAAAGUAUAGGUUUUCUCCCAAAAAGAAAGAUUGUCCCUCCUUCUGAAGUGUCAGGUAAGAAUUCCGACGACAUUUGCUACGGAGUUAGGCAAAAUGUUCUAUGUUAUUAAUUUAUAGCGAGUUACAGUUUCUGAUGCUGAAGUUUUUUUAAAUCUUGAAAAUAUAUGGCUAGGUUUUCUAGAACCUGCUUAGAGCAUGUUCCGACUGUCGCAGAUGACGUAAUCUGCAAGAAAAGUGAGAGUGGGAAUAUUUCGAAAAAAUUGUUUUUCAUAUUAAUGUUUUUUCCAAUUUAAGAGCAACCGAUGAGGCUGCCUGUUUAAGGUGAGGAGGUGAAAAUCAAAUUUCUUCCCGUCAUGUACACUUAUCAAAAUCAGUCGCAAACCACAUUAAACGAUUUGAAAACUUUCAGAAUUUACCCAUAAGCGAAAAACUAACGUUUUCUUCACAUUAGAAUAGUUUUAGCUUAGUGAAUUCAAGCCACCCGCUUGCGAAAAACCCAAAAUCACAACCUAUGUCCAAUGACCGUUGAAUACAGUAGGUAUUAUGCAUUUGGAAAAUACGAGAUUAGUGCCUGAUUUGAACACGACAUGUUUCCCCCCUAAUUUGCAAAUUUUUCUAAACAUCUCGAGAAAAAUCCAGCAUACGCAGAAAAAAUUAUUCCAUUAUGUAACAUACAGAAAGUUACUUUAGUGCUCGAUUUGACGGGAGUGUACUUACAAUUUUGUGAACGGGAACUUUGAAUUAAUGUAUACAAAACCGCUAUUUUUUACACUUAUGAGUUGAAUUUAGACAUUUUCUAUGAGUCGACCUGUGAAACCCUACGAGAAAAGUUGUUGAAGGAUCAUGUGCUAGGGCCCCAAAUUCCAUAUCUUGUCUAGCGGUCCAUUGUUACGGAUGGACACGGAACAAAAUAUUACGGAAACGUUUCAAAGUGGUGCAGAAAAUGUUUUCAAUUGAAUAAGCCCCACCUACCAACACUCAAACAAAAUAGGAGUAUUCCGCACUAUCGCGAAACACUCACAGUUGUUACGUCGAACAACAUACGAUUUUGUAAAUGUAUUGCUUCCUGACACUGACGUUUCGCUUCAUCCGCUUACAAUGCUUAAUUGAAUGGCCAGUCCGAGAUUUUCUUUUAUCGUUACGUUGUCUUGACCUUCUGUGAAUCAACUGAUAAACAUUCAGAUCGUUCAUUCAAGACACGAUUAUUAAGCUCACACAUUGCAGAGGAUUCACAUUGCGAGCAGUAUCUCUUUAACUUUGACAU